rnacentral:tRNA from 1 species
CAUUAAGUGGCUGAAACUUUAUAAGCAUUGGUCUCUUAAACCAAAAUAAUAGUAAUUUAAUAAAUACUCUUAAUGA